UACGGAGGGGGCUAGCGUUGUUCGGAAUACUGGGCGUAAAGCGCACGUAGGCGGCUUUGUAAGUUAGAGGUGAAAGCCCGGGGCUCAACCCCGGAAUUGCCUUUAAGACUGCAUCGCUUGAACGUCGGAGAGGUGAGUGGAAUUCCGAGUGUAGAGGUGAAAUUCGUAGAUAUUCGGAAGAACACCAGUGGCGAAGGCGGCUCACUGGACGACUGUUGACGCUGAGGUGCGAAAGCGUGGGGAGCAAACAGG
rnacentral:rRNA from 1 species